UUAUUAAUUAUCUUCUUUAAUACUCUAAAUUUAGAUUUCUAAUUCUCUUAUACAAUUCUUCUCGUGCCCUUAACUUUUUAGUAAAAAUUAAUUAAAAAUUUAUAAUUAAUAUCAAUAACCAUUUUCUUAAUUUCUAACUAUAAUUAUACUUUUAAGUAUGCUUAAGUAGAUAUUUUUAAAGAUAAAAUAUAGAUUUUUAAAAUUAAAUUUAUUUAAAAGGAAUGUUUUUUAAAGGGGAAGCUUUUAAAGAUUUUGAAAUAUCUAAAAAUUUUACUUUUUCAACCCAUCAAAUUAAUAAAUAAAAAAUUUUUUGAUACAUUCCCUUAGGUUGCCUUCACUAUUAAAAAAAACCCAACACAUUCCAUCCAAAACAUACUGUUAGUAUGUCCACAAUUACUUUCUUAAUAUAGCUCACCAACGUCCUUCGUAUGGUACCAACAUUAUCUAAAUUCCACACGCUAACGAUUUGGUUCGACCCUUUUAGGUUGAACCCAUUUGCAUAAAUCUUUUUUCUUUUCUCACUCUAUUCUUCAACAUUAAAUAUAAAAUUCGCCCAAUUCUUGCAUAAACCUUUGUCACUCUUUUACGGUGAGAAAAAAAGCCUACUUGGCUACAAUUAUAUCUACCUUUAAAGAUAAUCGAGUUGACACUUCCUUUCUUCUUUUUUUUUUUUUUUUCCAAAAAGGCCAUUUGCCAAAACCACAUUAUAAGCCAAUACAAAUUCUAGAAUGAUUUCCCUUUCUCAUUCCUAUUAUUCACACAUUUGAUCCCUUCAUGUAUCCAUUCAAUGCUAUCAUGCACAAAUCCAUUUAUCCCUCAGUUUACAAAAACCUUAUACCCACCGAAAAUUCCUUCAAUCAGAGCAUACACAUCUUCCUAAACUUCCACAUUACACACGAAUGAUAAUAACAGUCUCUUUUCUCAAUUCUCAUUAUUUCAAGGAAAUAAUCCUUUUAUCAAUUUUACUUCCAGCACCUCAUCUUUGAGUCCUAAUUCUACCAUUGUUCCAACCCCAUUUCGGUUCUGCCACAACUUACUUAUAACCGCACUACCUGAACUUAGGUAAU
rnacentral:misc_RNA from 1 species